rnacentral:rRNA from 1 species
CCUACGGGUGGCAGCAGUGGGGAAUAUUGCACAAUGGGGGAAACCCUGAUGCAGCGACGCCGCGUGGGUGACGAAGUAUUUCGGUAUGUAAAGCCCUAUCAGCAGGGAAGAAGAUGACAGUACCUGACCAAGAAGCCCCGGCUAACUACGUGCCAGCAGCCGCGGUAAUACGUAGGGGGCAAGCGUUAUCCGGAUUUACUGGGUGUAAAGGGAGCGUAGGUGGCAUGGCAAGCCAGAAGUGAAAACCCGGGGCUUAACCCCGCGGAUUGCUUUUGGAACUGUCAGGCUGGAGUGCAGGAGGGGCAGGCGGAAUUCCUGGUGUAGCGGUGAAAUGCGUAGAUAUCAGGAGGAACACUGGUGGCGAAGGCGGCCUGCUGGACUGUAACUGACACUGAGGCUCGAAAGCGUGGGGAGCAAACAGGAUUAGAUACCCCUGUAGUC